CCCUUAGAUGUUCGGGGCCGCACGCGCGCUACACUGAAGGAAUCAGCACGUCUUUCUCCUUGUCCGAAAGGACUGGGUAACCCGCUGAACCUCCUUCGUGCUAGGGAUUGGGGCUUGUAAUUCUUCCCCAUGAACGAGGAAUUCCCAGUAAGCGCGAGUCAUAGGCUCGCGUUGAUUACGUCCCUGCCCUUUGUACACACCGCCCGUCGCUACUACCGAUUGGAUGGUUUAGUGAGAUCCUCGGAUUGGUCCCGGCGCGGCCUCUGGUCGUGCCGGAGUGCCGAAAAGAAUGUCGAACUUGAUCAUCUAGAGGAAGUAAAAGUCGUAACA
rnacentral:rRNA from 1 species